CCUACGGGCGGCAGCAGUGGGGAAUAUUGCACAAUGGGGGAAACCCUGAUCCAGCGACGCCGCGUGAGUGAAGAAGUAUUUCGGUAUGUAAAGCUCUAUCAGCAGGGAAGAAAGAAAUGACGGUACCUGACUACUAAGCCCCGGCUAACUCCGUGCCAGCAGCCGCGUUAAUACGUAGGGGGCACGCGUUAACCGGAUGUACUGGGUGUAAAGGUAGCGUUGACGGCGAUGCAAGUCUGAGGUGAAAGGCCGGGGCUCAACCUGCGGACUGCGUUUGAAACUGGAUGGCUGGAGUGCAGGAGAGGUAAGUGGAAUUCCGAGUGUAGCGGUGAAAUCCGUAGAUAUUAGGAGGAACACCAGUGGCGAAGGCGACUUACUGGAACGUAACUGACGUUGAGGCUCGAAAGCGUGGGGAGCAAACAGGAUUAGAUACCCGGGUAGUC
rnacentral:rRNA from 1 species